GGAUGUGAGGGCGAUCUGGCUGCGACAUCUGUCACCCCAUUGAUCGUCAGGGAUGAUUUGGCUGAUCUAGCUGGCUAGGCAGGUGUCCCCUUCCUCCCUCACCGCUCCAUGUUCGUCCCUCCCGAAGCUGCGCGCUUGGUCGAAGAGGACGACCAUCCCCGAUAGAGGAGGACCGUUCUUCGGUCAAGAGUAUAUGAGUAGCUGCGCUCCCCUGCUAGAACCUCCAAACAAGCUCUCAAGAAACAGAAUUAUAUACUCAACCCUGGUAAAUCCACUUUAAAGAAGCUGCCUAUUAUGCUUGCUU
rnacentral:snRNA from 1 species